AGUAAUGUAUGGGGAUCCGCCCGAUAGAGGGGAAUAACUACUGGAAACGGUGGCUAAUACCGCAUAAUGUCUACGGACCAAAGCAGGGGCUCUUCGGACCUUGCACUAUCGGAUGAACCCAUAUGGGAUUAGCUAGUAGGUGGGGUAAAGGCUCACCUAGGCGACGAUCUCUAGCUGGUCUGAGAGGAUGAUCAGCCACACUGGGACUGAGACACGGCCCAG
rnacentral:rRNA from 1 species